UCUUCAGAUGGUGAUCCCAAGCCUUCUGGCGAUUAUAAAGCUUUCAUGGGAAAGCGCUCAAGGCGCUUGUCCUAUUAUCUGGCUUAUUCUUUGUUCACCGGUUUGUUUUGUGUCGGCUGAUUAUUUUAAUUUGCUGGUUAUUUGAUUGUUCGGUUGUUUUAUGUGUAAUUAUGGUGUUUGUAUGUAAUUUUGCUGGUGAAGGUUGUCCCGGUAUGCUCCGGAGGGCUUGUAGCUCAGUUGGUUAGAGCGCGCGCUUGAUAAGCGUGAGGUCGGAGGUUCAAGUCCUCCCAGGCCCACCAAUGAUGUCUGGUUGUGCUUAUGAUCGCUCAUAUUCGAUUGCAUUUAGGGCACGAGCAAGACAAGAAAGAUUUGAGGUGCUUUAAUUUUUAGAUUUAGGGGCCGUAGCUCAGCUGGGAGAGCACCUGCUUUGCAAGCAGGGGGCGUCGGUUAAA
rnacentral:tRNA from 1 species